rnacentral:rRNA from 1 species
CGUUUGGGGGAUGGCUCGGCUCGAGCGCCGAGGAAGGUCGUGUCAAGCUGCGAUAAGCGCCGGGUAGGCGCAAGAAGCCUAUGAUCCGGCGAUCGCCGAAUGGGACUUCCUAUUCUUCGGAAUGAUCCGUAAGGAUCGGGAACGCGGGGAAUCGAAACAUCCUAGUACCCGCAGGAAAAGAAAUCAAUCGAGAUGCCGUGAGUAAAGGCGAUCGAACGCGGCAGAGGGCAAACCGAAUCCCGUUCAGAAAUGAACGGGAGAUGUGGAGUUGCUGGAUUCGGUUACCUCUUCGUCAACUAACCUGAAGUUGGCUGGAACGCCACACCAAAGAGGGUGAUAGUCCCGUAAGGGUACGUUGAAAAGAGGAUUGCCGAAUAUCCAGAGUAGCGUGCGUUGGAUUUCGCGCGCGAAGCUGGGAAUCAUUCAUUUCCAACCCUAAAUACGUCUCGAGACCGAUAGCGCAGUAGUAGCGUGAGUGAAAGCUGAAAAGUACCCUUAGCGGGAGGUGAAAAGAGCCUGAAACCAGACGGCUAUAGUCAGAUACGGCGUGAAAGGGAAGAAGCCCUUUUGGGCAGACCAGCGUCGUAUCGUCCGUUUUGAAUAACGGGCCAGGGAGUUCCGAUCAAUGGCGAGACUAAGCGCUUUACGCGCGGAGUCGAAGGGAAACCGACAUGCCCGCAGCUUCGCAAGAAGCGAGGGGCGGGGUGUGCUCGCCCGGAGUCAUUGGUGGGAUACCCGAAGCCAGUUGAUCUAGGCGUGGGUAGGUUGAAGCCUCUCGAAAGGGAGGUGGAGGACCGAACCGGUGUUGAUGUGCAAAUCACUCGGAUGACCUGCGUCUAGGGGUGAAAGGCCAAUCUAAACUGGGAAUAGCUGGUUCCUCCUGAAACUAGUCGCAGCUAGACCUCAGCCGAGGCCGACCAUGGGGUAGAGCACUGAUUGGGCGCUUAGGCGGAGAAAUCCGUCGGCAUCCUGUCAAACUCCGAACUCGUGGUCGCCGUAGACGCUGGGUGUGAGGGCCUCUGGGGUAAGCUUGGGGUCCAUAAGGGAAUGCAACCCAGCCUGAGGUUAAGGUCCCUAAGUACUGGCUAAGUGUAAUAACAAAGGUAGUCCGCAGUCUAAGACAACUGGGAGGUGGGCUUAGAAGCAGCCACCCUUUAAAGAAAGCGUAACAGCUCACCAGUCGAGAUUGCGGGCGCUGAAAAUGGACGGGGCUAAGCCAGUCACCGAUACCUCAGAGCACCGAAAGGUGAUCUGGUAAGGAGGCGUCGUGCACGGGCAGAAGCUUGGCCGUGAGGUCAAGUGGACCGUGUUCGAACGAGGAUCCUGGUAGGAGUAGCAGCAAAGAGCGGUGAGAAUCCGCUCCGCCGUAGGGGCCAGGGUUCCUCGGCAAUGAUCGUCAGCCGAGGGUUAGCCGAUCCUAAGGCAUUCCUUAAUCGAGAAUGCCGAAAGGGAAGCAGGUUAAUAUUCCUGCGCCAUGCCAGUUUUUGCCUCAUGUCUGACGUAUCAGGAUAGAUCGAGCAGACUUGCCUGUCUGUUCAAGCGUAGAAACCCGGGGAGAACCGUAAUGGUGAGAACCGGGCGAAUGCGCGAGUAGGAGGGCGAAGGCCCUCUUCGAUCGAUUCCCGGUACCCAUGAAAAAGACAUGAGUGAACAGCUGGUGUGUUCGUACCGAGAACCGACACAGGUGCCCCUAGGUGAGAAGCCUAAGGCGUGUCGGCGUAAUCCAGGCGAGGGAACUCGGCAAAUUAGCCCCGUACCUUAGGUAGAAGGGGUGCCAGCCACGAAAGUGGCUGGUCGCAGUGACAAGGGAGCUACGACUGUUUAAUAAAAACACAGGUGGCAGCAAGUCCGAAAGGAUGUGUAUUGCCGCUGAAGCCUGCCCAGUGACGGUAUCUGAAACUCCGGUUCAACGGAGCGAAGGACCGUUAAACGGCGGGGGUAACUAUGACCCUCUUAAGGUAGCGUAAUACCUUGUCGCUUAAUUGGCGACUUGCAUGAAGGCCCAACGAGAGCUCUACUGUCCCCGCCUGGAGGCUGGUGAAACUGAUAGUACCGGCGCACAAUCCGGUAUCUUCCACCUGAAAGCGAAGACCCCGUGGAGCUUUACUGCAGCCUGUAGCUGUGGUAUGAAUCCGACUGUGUAGGGUAGGCGGGAGACGUUAUCAGGGCCUGCCGCUAGGUAGGUACCGAGUCGACGAUGAAACACCGCCCUUUUGGGUUCGUAUCACUAACUUCUUCGGAAGGACAACUAUAGGUGGGCAGUUUGGGUGGGGCGCCACGCCCUCAAUAAGGAAACAAGGGCGCCCAAAGGUCAGCUCAGGCAGGUCAGAAAUCUGCCGGAGAAUGUAAGGGUAAAAGCUGGCUUGACGUGGAUCCGGACAACAAGGAUCCGCGAUGCGAAAGCAGGGCCUAGCGAACCAAUGAGCCUUCUGAGUGGGGGCCAUUGAUGACAGAAAAGUUACCCCGGGGAUAACUGAGUCGUCUCCAGCAAGAGUCCAUAUCGACCUGGAGGCUUGCUACUUCGCUGUCGGCUCUUCCUAUCCUGGUGGUGCAGCAGCUGCCAAGGGUGGGGUUGUUCGCCCAUUAAAAGGGAUCGUGAGCUGGGUUUAGACCGUCGUGAGACAGGUUUGUUGCUUUUUGGUGGAAGUGCAUUGGUGCCUGACGAGAAGAACCCUUUAGUACGAGAGGAACGGGGGUUCGCGGCCUCUAGUUAACCAGUUGUCCGGCAGGGCAUAGCUGGGCAGCCACGCCGUCGUGGGUAAGAGCUGAAAGCAUCUAAGCUCGAAACCACCUCGGAAAAGAGGC